UACGUAGGUGGCAAGCGUUAUCCGGAAUUAUUGGGCGUAAAGCGCGCGCAGGCGGUUUCUUAAGUCUGAUGUGAAAGCCCACGGCUCAACCGUGGAGGGUCAUUGGAAACUGGGAAACUUGAGUGCAGAAGAGAAGAGUGGAAUUCCACGUGUAGCGGUGAAAUGCGUAGAGAUGUGGAGGAACACCAGUGGCGAAGGCGGCUUUCUGGUCUGUAACUGACGCUGAGGCGCGAAAGCGUGGGGAGCAAACAGG
rnacentral:rRNA from 1 species